rnacentral:lncRNA from 1 species
AUGGCACUGAUGAUAGGAUAAUCAGGAAUUGUUUCUACUCUCAAGGAAAAUCAGGAAAUUGUUUCUACUCUCAAGGAAUUGUUUCUACUCUCAAGUCUGUUUCAGACUACAGGAGAGAGAGAACACACAUUCUAAUGAAUAAUAACUCAAUGCGAUGUGUACUUUAUAAAAGCAUGUAACAUAAAGAAGUGUAUAGGAGAAGGAGUGAUUCACCACUAUUGGAGGCGGGGAAAAUUGGAAUAACAAGCUACUUAUCAUGAGCAAACUUGUUAUGGGCAAGUUCGAGAAGAAUGAAUGUUUGUGCACCAGCUAUCAAGGUGUGAAGAAGGGAAGAAAAUUCCAGAUGGAUGAUAUGUGAAAGCAGAAAACAAAUCUAAUUUACUCAAUGAUCAAAGGAUAAUGCAGAAAACACUCCACCAAAAACCAAGGAAUAAAUCCAACGAAAUAAAAUACA